UGUGCAAAGCUGAUGUUACCAUUCAGGACUCUAUCCUGUGCCAAGGAAGCCUAGAUGAGAAACCAAUGGAGGUGUCCUGGCUGUGUUGUGGUCUGGUUCUUACUGCUGAGUGACUGUAAUCACUUCCCAUCUGAGUCUCAGCUUCCUUGUCUACAUAGGGAUAAGCAGAGCAGCCAGCCUGCUUUCUGUCAGGCCCGCGCUGCUCUGAUUGUGUUGAAGCAGCUUGUUAUCCUGUCAGAGGCUCCGUGACCCACAGGUGAGCUUUGUGGUCUUCAAGAGGCCUUGUAAUUACUCUUGUAAGUCCCAGAGAGAAGUCACCAGAAUUAUUAGGGCAACUAAGGCCUCUGCAGGCUGAAUCAUUUCCCCAGAUGGUGCCCUCUGCUAUUAAGGUUAGCUUUGGACACAAGAACCAGGCAUCAUCAGCAACAAAACAGAGGGAUGAAACAUGGAAGCCAAAGACACUGCCAGGAGAUUCAGAGAAGAGUAAUGUGGAGUUCCCAGGUCUGAAGGGAAGGCGGAGACUCUGAAGUUACAUGGUAGGAAAGUGCACCAGGCUGAAGGCGGAAAGGAGACCACUUCGUGUACGAUCCUCACCUCCCAGGCACCGUCUCUGCAAAGGCAUCUAUAGUGUAUAUCAGCAAAGCGAGUUUCCAGGGCUAUAGGGAGAUGUCAACAGCCACAUGACAGCACUCCAGGAAACGUCACAGUACUUCUCUCAAAAGAAGCAACAGAAAGUAGCUAGGCAUGACACCCACGGUAUUUCUGGAGCCCACUGAACACCUCUGAUGCUCUGAGGACAGGAGUUCCAACACCAGCUAGCUCACUUACAUGGCAGCUCACAGCAGAGAGCUGUGCCUAGUAGGUGUUGGACACAGGCUGGGUGUUUCAUAAACAUUCUCUCUGAGCUCCCAAA